rnacentral:piRNA from 1 species
UAGCCUUAUGGUAGAGGGUUCUCUGCCUUU